GGGGAUAUGGCUCAGUGGUUAGAGCACUAGCUGUUCUUGCAGAGGACCAGGGUUCAAUUCCCAGCACCCACA
rnacentral:tRNA from 1 species